rnacentral:rRNA from 1 species
AACGAGCGCUGGCGGCAUGCCUAACACAUGCAAGUCGAACGAGACCUUCGGGUCUAGUGGCGCACGGGUGCGUAACGCGUGGGAACCUGCCCUUAGGUUCGGAAUAACUCCCCGAAAGGGGUGCUAAUACCGGAUAAUGUCUUCGGACCAAAGAUUUAUCGCCUUUGGAUGGGCCCGCGUUGGAUUAGCUAGUUGGUAGGGUAAAAGCCUACCAAGGCGACGAUCCAUAGCUGGUCUGAGAGGAUGAUCAGCCACACUGGGACUGAGACACGGCCCAGACUCCUACGGGAGGCAGCAGUGGGGAAUAUUGGACAAUGGGCGAAAGCCUGAUCCAGCAAUGCCGCGUGAGUGAUGAAGGCCUUAGGGUUGUAAAGCUCUUUUACCCGGGAUGAUAAUGACAGUACCGGGAGAAUAAGCUCCGGCUAACUCCGU